AAAAACCCAAGUAUUAUACCCAGGUAUACUAACUAAAGCUAAAAAAAAACAGGUUAUACCCAGGUAUACUGACCAGUUAAAAACCAGGUUAUACCCAGGCAUACCAACUACAUCUAAAAACUGGUUAUCCCGAGGACUAAAGCUAAAAACCUCAGUAUACUGACUACAGCUAAAAAACAGGUUAUACCCAGAUAUACUGACUAAAGCUAAAAAAAAAAAACUAAAA